rnacentral:siRNA from 1 species
UAUUGAUUUUCAUGUCAUUAUCU